UUGUGAAAUUGUUGAAAGGGAAGCGCAUGGGGGCAGACUUGGACGCGGGGUUCAGGACGUCGGUUUGACGUGUGUACUUCCCCGCGGACAGGCCAGCAUCGGUUUCGGGGGCCGGACAAAGACGACAGGAAUGUGGCUCUCUUCGGAGCGUGUUAUAGCCUGACGUGCAAUGCGGCCACCUGGGACCGAGGACCGCGCUUCGGCAAGGAUGCUGGCGUAAUGGCCUCAUGCGGCCCGUCUUGAAACACGGACCAAGGAGUCUAACAUCUAUGCGAGUGUUUGGGUUUGAAGCCCGGACGCGGAAUGAAAGUGAACGGAGGUGGGAGUCCGCAAGGACGCACCAUCGACCGAUCCGGACGUUUUCCGAAGGAUUUGAGUAAGAGCAUAGCUGUUGGGACCCGAAAGAUGGUGAACUAUGCGUGAAUAGGGUGAAGCCAGAGGAAACUCUGGUGGAGGCUCGCAGCGGUUCUGACGUGCAAAUCGAUCGUCAAAUUUGCGUAUAGGGGCGAAAGACUAAUCGAACCAUCUAGUAGCUGGUUCCUGCCGAAGUUUCCCUCAGGAUAGCAGUAACGUAUUCAGUUUUAUGAGGUAAAGCGAACGAUUAGGGAGCUAGGGGUUGAAACAACCUUUAUCCAUUCUCGAACUUUAAACAUGUAAGAAGUCCUUGUUGCUUUGUUGAACGUGGACAGUCGAAUGCAGCGUUACUAGUGGGCCAUUUUUGGUAAGCAGAACUGGCGAUGCGGGAUGAACCGAACGUGGGGUUAAGGUGCCGGAAUGCACGCUCAUCAGACACCACAAAAGGUGUUAGUUCAUCUAG
rnacentral:rRNA from 1 species